rnacentral:rRNA from 1 species
AGAGUGAACGCUGGCGGCAUGCCUAACACAUGCAAGUCGAACGGUAACAGGCCCGCAAGGGUGCUGACGAGUGGCGGACGGGUGAGGAAUACAUCGGAAUCUGCCCGGUUGUGGGGGAUAACGUAGGGAAACUUACGCUAAUACCGCAUACGACCUACGGGUGAAAGCGGGGGACCUUCGGGCCUCGCGCAGUCGGAUGAGCCGAUGUCGGAUUAGCUAGUUGGCGGGGUAAAGGCCCACCAAGGCGACGAUCCGUAGCUGGUCUGAGAGGAUGAUCAGCCACACUGGGACUGAGACACGGCCCAGACUCCUACGGGAGGCAGCAGUGGGGAAUAUUGGACAAUGGGGGCAACCCUGAUCCAGCAAUGCCGCGUGUGUGAAGAAGGUCUUCGGAUUGUAAAGCACUUUCGACAGGGACGAUGAUGACGGUACCUGUAGAAGAAGCCCCGGCUAACUUCGUGCCAGCAGCCGCGGUAA